ensembl:lncRNA
CUUUGAUGCACUGCCGCUCCACGCUCGUCUGAUAUCUCCGUCUAAACAUCUCGGGGAAUACAAUCUGACACACUGUGACACCGAUGUACUUUUAGUAAGCUAUAUAAGGAUUUAACCCAAUUGGACAUAACGGAACUUACAGUUAGUUGGAGAUAACGGAGUCCAUGAAGUGACCUAUGAUGUCAUGAAGGUAUAUUGGACAACACAUGUAUGCAGCACCGAUCCCGGGACCAGAGACGUGGGCCAUGCAUCCCAAAGGUCCUGGUGGACAGAGUCAACCGGUAAACAGUUUCCCCAGUCGUCUCCAGGCAGACAGCACGGGCAGACCCCCCCCAGCUGUGGCUUCCAGACUGCCGCCGUUGCCAAAAACAACGCCUUGGGUUCCAAGCAGGGUUCAAAAAGGCGCUUUUGAUAGCGGAUGAAAAAUGCUGUGAUUUAAUCAGAGACCCCUUCCUGACAUGGAAAAAUGUUUUUGCUGUGCUGGGAGCACUAAAGUAUAUAGUUAAUCUCCAUGAUUCAGACAUCAGAUGGCCAUAUAAAGGCAGGGUGCGCGUGUGACGCAGGCUGUGUGGAUAUGAUUGGAUGUGGUAUUGACAUUGGGUUGUAAGUGAAGUGCAUUAGUUAGUGCCGUGGCGAGGUGACAGCACAUUAACUGCACCAGUACUGAUCCAAAUCCCCCAGAGUCACUCUCACUCCUCUACAAGUACUAUCAAGCAUUAUCAAGCAUUAACAAGCAUUCAGAACGAUAUGUUCAAUAACUGCUGUUCAAAAACAUUGGUAACAACAAUAAUCUGUAUGAGAAUCUGUAUGAAUAUGAAUAUUUAUCAAUAUGAUAUUAUUUAACACCUCACUAAUAUGGUAUCAACUGUAGAGAUAUGCAUCUGGAACUGAAUUGUUGAAGUAAAGAUUAACUCAUUGUCAUGGUCAUUUGAUUCUGCAAUGCAAACAGCUAAC